ACCAGGAUAGCUUAAAAUCAAAGCUUUGAUUUUGUAAUUCAAGGAUGACUCUCGUCUCCUGGUU
rnacentral:tRNA from 1 species